rnacentral:lncRNA from 1 species
CGGCUCUAAAAGUGUGUCUAACGGCUAGUUUUCGAUGGGGAUUGCUUAAAUAGCCAGAGUGAACAGUAAUAGACAUCAAGAGAGAGACUCCAUUCAAAGCAAAAGGGAUUUCCACCUACCAAAGCCACUCAAGAGUAAAUACAAGAGAAAGAAGGAAGAAGUGCAUUGAAGUCCAUCCUCCAAACAUCUUCCUCGCAUUCGAGGCUCCCCUUCUGACAGCAAAUCUUCAGCACACUCAA